rnacentral:lncRNA from 1 species
UGUGUAUACGUUGGAUAAAAUUAAUGUUUCUCAUCAACUUAUAGGAGGAAACAUAAAAGAGUCGUGGCGUCGUGCAGCCUACCGUCUACCGUCAACUAUUUUGUUCAAAAUCAUUGUAUUCUACUGAAUGUGCCAUCGAAAUGAUACAGGAGUCAUAAUUAUCUGCUGUUUGUAUUGGACUUGGUAGAUCACCAACGGCCCAGCAUAGACCAAUCUCACAUUUCAUCUUCUCGAGAGAAGAUUGGAUAACUGAUCGGUGGUUUCAUGUGUUCUAAACUCCAGGUUUCUAAAUUUGCAUGGCAGACUUUAUGAGAAGUCAUGUCCUUUCAAGAAAGUCAGCAAGGUCCCUUGUUUACUAACCUGUUGGCUGCUACCCUUGAGUCUUCCUUUUUACUUUCUUAAGCGGGCCAUCUUUAUUUGAGGGUAAUCCUUCGCUACUUGUCAUGGCCUUCAUCCACAGGUGAAAAACCGACGAGACAAUGCUGCAAUUCAAGACUGAUAAAUUGUUUAAUCGUUAGAUUCAAUUACAAGUGCAUAUCUGGGCUCCCUUCUUUUCUGUGGCCCCGUUUCCCUAACUAACCACUA